AAGGAGCUUCUCGCGCGGGCCUUCCAGCAUCGCCGCCUUUGGCGAUCUAUAGCCAGGACCCAGACAACUCGAGCAACCUGAAAUUUAUCGUGCAUGUUGCCACCUAUUGCGAGGACCGCGACACCGUAUGUGUAAGACCGAUCGAGAAGAUGGGACACGUAGUCUUCAGAGAACGAAAGCGGAGUCGACUACUUCGGGGAAGUGAUGGAGAAAGAGUCGUGGAUAACGGUGGCAAUUGCGACGCGAUACGAACGGCCUCAACUCGAUUGGAAGGGGACUCAUAUUUGCGAUAACCGUGUAUGUUUAGAUUCGGUAGCUACGGUCGAAUCGGUCGAAUGUAUCGUCACUUACGUUGAUUCGAUAAUUUCUAUUCGCAGUUUCGCUCGCUAUAUUCGAACGAUCAGGAUAUGUAUUCUAAGCAGUGAUGCGCAGUCGCGGAUUUCUGGUACAUAUUAAGUAAAGCAGCAUUUCAACGACGUACUCACGCUUCUUAAGUAUAAGGUUAGGCCCCAGAAGAGCACAUCUUGGAAAUUUUAGAAAGGGAAGAAAGUUUCGAAUGAAAUAAAAUGCUACAUAAAUAUUAAUAAAAUUUAUUAGACGAAUACAAACAUUUGCUGUGAGAAUAAGAGAACAAAAUAUAUGAGCAUACAUUCUUACGUAGUAUAAAUAUAUUUAUAUAUUUUGUUACAGUUUUUAAAAUAGUAGAUGAUUUGUAAAAGUACGCCACUUUCAUACGUAUAAUGUUGCACUCAAUGUACAGUCAUGGUGGCACAUGUCUAGCUGUGACGUCGUUCAUGACACGCACACAACUCUUAGUGAGGAAAAAUCCCGCAGCAGCGCAUCACUGAUUCCGAACGGACUUUUCGCGCAUUUCAACUACGCUAGUAAGCUCCGUCACUCAUGUUGCUCCCUGUCGUGACGCACGUUCAUUCAUUUAUCAUAUAUACGGUAAAUAAAAUAUACGAAUAAAGAUGUUACGCGAGCACGAACGUCGUGAUUCAUUUAUCAAGACGAAUGAAGAGUAAGAGGGUAGGAGGUUAAGAGGUAAACGAUUCGUUGUCACGAUACAGCGGUUGGAUUCCCCGAUUACUUUCAAUUUUCGCGUGCAUAACCUUGAAGAUAAAGCAUUACAAGACAAGUUUAUAUUUGUACAGUCCUCGAGACGCUGCACGGUGACUAGUUCAUUUCGAGAGGAGCACUAAACGUAAACUACAACGUGCGUGCCAUGUGUCCCGACACGCGUUAUUUUCAAGGUGUAAUAUGCUCAAUCUCGUUGUUUUUCCUCUUAUCAGAGCUCGACUUCCGGCUUUGCGCAAAUAUCGCGCACAUCAAUAGAUUAUCACGAUGUAAUCUGAUCAAUCGCGCCAAACGACUUUUCGCUAAAUUCGUCUGCGUCGUUAUACCUUCGUAUCCCGAGUCGAGUCUAUCCAGCUGCACGCUGACGUUGUCGAUCGCUUCGAGUAACAUCCCAUACUGUUUUUGUAGCUGAACUUGAUGCGUCUUCGAGACUAACAGGGUCGCUACGCCGAGGACGAUGAGUAUAACGACACAGAAUCCGAACAGAAUCCUUUGGGACAACGUUGUCAUCACCCGCAAUUAUUUUCCAUACAUUCAUACUUUCAGAAUUCUCUUCAAAUUAUCGACGAAUCGUUAUCUCUUGAAUCGAAGUUUUUCCUUUUCUUGUUUACUGACUGUAAUCGCGUGACUGUUAAUCGAUAAUCCUCCGCUUGCGAUUUACGGAACGCGGAGGAAACAAAAAUGUACGAAAAAGAACGAAACGGGCGAGUACUGUUGACUUCUUUGAAUCGCACUGCUUGACACGAUGAAUCCGCGGCGGAGACUUUUCCACCACGCUAAAUGCACGAUUCCCAAAUUUUCGAGUUAAACGAAAACCGUUCCGCUUUGUCGUUCUUUUUCUGGCACAACGCCCACGUUUUUUGUCUAUUAUUAAAAGGAUGCGUGGUAUGAUACA